ACCAUGAGGAAGUUCUGCUAAGGUAGUGGGGGGAGGGAGGUGGGUGAGCAACUUUCCAAACAGUUAGAUGGUAAUCGCAGUUCCAAUGAUCGGAAUGUCUGUUCACCGGUUAUGUGAGAGACUUAGCUAAGGUUUUGGCUCCCGGCAACAAUCCACGGUCAACGUUGUCUCCUCUUCCUGGUAAAUGGCUGGCUGGGAUUGAGCAACAUUCUGGGACAUGCUGGAUCCUGCAGAUAAAAUAAAAAAUAAAAUGAACACAGAGACUGAAAUGUGGUAUAAGAGUCACAACGAUUGAGGAAUCAAAGGCUAUGCAAAAAGCUACAGCACCUUAAUAGAAGCAUGGAAAAGACAAUGAAUAAGAGAACAUUAAGACAAUAGGCAUACUAUAAUUUUCACGGAAGGUUUAGACCCAUAUGAAAUAUAAGAUUUUAUCAACGGUAGCUAUGCACUGAAAAUCUAUGUAUGAGAACACAACCUCACUCACAACCACCAACUGUAAACAAUACAAAGUCCUGCUCUCUCU